ACACGUGGGUAACCUGCCUGUAAGAUUGGGAUAACUCCGGGAAACCGGAGCUAAUACCGGAUAAUAUGUUGAACCGCAUGGUUCAACAUUGAAAGAUGGCUUUUGCUAUCACUUACAGAUGGACCCGCGGCGCAUUAGCUAGUUGGUGAGGUAACGGCUCACCAAGGCAACGAUGCGUAGCCGACCUGAGAGGGUGAUCGGCCACACUGGGACUGAGACACGGCCCAGACUCCUACGGGAGGCAGCAGUAGGGAAUCUUCCGCAAUGGACGAAAGUCUGACGGAGCAACGCCGCGUGAACGAUGAAGGCCUUCGGGUCGUAAAGUUCUGUUGUUAGGGAAGAACAAGUACCAGAGUAACUGCUGGUACCUUGACGGUACCUAACCAGAAAGCCACGGCUAACUACGUGCCAGCAGCCGCGGUAAUACGUAGGUGGCAAGCGUUGUCCGGAAUUAUUGGGCGUAAAGCGCGCGCAGGUGGUUUCUUAAGUCUGAUGUGAAAGCCCACGGCUCAACCGU
rnacentral:rRNA from 1 species